UGUCUUUUUGAAAAUAAUAUAAAGUCUAAUCUGCCCACUGAUAAAUAAUUGAAGGGCUGCAGUAUUUUGACUGUACAAAGGUAGCAUAAUCAUUAGUCAUUUAAUUGAUGACUUGCAUGAAAGAUUGGAUGAGAUAUAAGCUGUCUCUUAAUUAAAUAUAGAAUUUAAUUUUUUAAUUAAAAAGUUAAAAUAGUUUAAAAAGACGAGAAGACCCUAUAGAGUUUUAUAAAUAAUUUAGUUAAGAUUAUUUAAUAAAAUAAAAUUAAAAUUAAAAUAUUUAUUUUGUUGGGGUGACAGAAAAAUACAUGUAACUUUUUUAUAAUUAGAACAUUUAUAGGUGAUUAGAUGAUCCAAUAUUAUUGAUUAUAAGAAAAAAUUACCUUAGGGAUAACAGCGUAAUUUUUUUUUUUAGUUCAUAUAAGAAAAAGAGUUUGCGACCUCGAUGUUGGAUUAAGAUAAAAUUUAAAUGUAGAAG
rnacentral:rRNA from 1 species